GUGUAAGCUGGCAGCUUUUAGCCUAUCAGAGCUCCAAAUGACGGUAUGAAUGGGUAUGACAACAAGGAAGUGUAUAAUCUCGGGCUUUGAAACACCUACAGAAGGGGCCAGACUGUGGUUGGCCAGGGACCCUUAUUUAGUGUUAAACUGCUAUAAAGUGGUUUAACACUGAAUGGAGGGACAGUGCCAUGGGACUCCAGGCACUAUAACAAAUUCAAAGAGAUGAAAUGCCUAUAGGGACAUCAAUGUCCCUUUAAAUCUGUAAUUCACUUUAAAUUCCUGACAAUUCUCACCUUGGUAAAUAACCCUGUAGAAAUUUCAUCCUCCAAAUAUUUAUCACUUUAAAAAUCCAUACCGAUGAUCUAUGUUAAUAAUAACAUAUACAAAUCAGGUACACUGCUUAACGGAGAUCUUUAUUUAACAUGCACAUAAGAAACACUGUUGCACUUAAAAUUAAUGCUGAUAACAAGCCAUUAGGAACCAUGUUUUAAGAUACUGGCGCCUUGAAUACAGUAAAAACCAAUGAUAAACACUGCAUAACAAUACAUGUUACAUUAAAAAAAGAAAGAAAAUAGAGAUGGUUUAAUGUUUCAUAUGCUCAACCUCCACCAAGUCUGUACGUUAAUGUGCCCGUUCUGUAAGAUAAAUGAACAGAUUUAUCUAGUUAACAUUCCCUGGUGUCACUUGGAUCUGCAUCUUGCCUGUUUCUGCAGACAUUAAAUUUUCUGUGAUAAAUUGCUGAUGACAUACAUGACGGUGCUCAUAAUAUGCAAGCUGCGAAUACCAUCGGAAGCUUUUUUCUUUAGAUAAUUCUAAACGCUACCCUGCUUAUUAGGGGUGGACAAAAGGCAUAUCCUCAGCUGCUGCAGAACUACAACUUCAAUGUGGCUGUUACAGCCUUAAGGUUGGAAAGGCAUGACGGAGGUUGUAGUUCUACAACAACUGGGCAUAAAACUUUUGGCAAGAAAUUGUGCCAACACAGAUAUAAAUUGUGCCAACACAGAUAUAAAUAUAAUUCUCCCAAACCUUUAGGAUUAUUCAUGACUGACAAAUUAGCAGUAAGCAUCACAAAGAAUACCAACCCAGUCUGUGUACAGCCCUUAAGAGUAAAUACAGUCAUCCAAUGAUACAGUAUGGUUUCAGCGUUCACCAGCCUCCAUACAUAAUAGUGGCGACUUUACAGGCUUCUGUGCCUUUAGUGCAGGUGGGUUAAUCGAAAUAAUGAAUUCCUGAUUAACUGGUAAUGUGUGCCAAAGUGUGCCUGUACUCUAAAAAUUGGAGGUAAAGAAACCCAACAGUAAAUCAAAUUCAAUGAAUGCUCAGAAAAAUCGUCAAAGACAGUGUAAUGGAAAUCAUGAUACAUUGCAUCCUGAGAAUCAUGGCGAUAGCUUUAGUGUAGGUGAAAGGAUAAGUAAACGCCAUCUUCUUUGUAAAAUAACUGAAGAGUGCAAAUACGUAGGGGCAAAACAAUAUAAUCUCUUCAAGAAUAUAUAGCAUCUGUGUCCUCUGUGACGGAGUCAGAAGAAAGCUUCAUUUGCUGAAAUGAAAAAGAUAGAAAGAGUUAAAGGCAGCAGCUGUGAUUUUAGCAAAAUUAUCCCAUCCAAGGAAAAGCUAAAAAGUCAAGGCAUUUCCUCAUGUUUAUCAAUACAAUACAGUCUACAGGGGUGUUCUGUUUGUGCAUAUCGCAUUAAGUUAGGUGGCAAAGUGAUAGGAAUGAAAACAGGUGGCAAUGUGAUAAGUUUCUAUUGGUGCUUGUGAUAGGACGGUAGGUGGCAGUGUGAUAUGAGUUUCUAUUUGUGCUUGUGAUAUGAUGGUAGGUGGCAAUGUGAGGGGACUUCUCUUGGUGCAUGUAGUAUGAAGGUAGGUGUCAAUGUGAUGAAGUUUCUCUUGGUGCUUGUAGUAUGAAGGUAGGUGUCAAUGUGAUGGGAAUUCUCUUGGUGUUUGUAGUAUGAAGGUAGGUGGCAAUGUGAUGGAACUUCUCUUGGUGUUUGUAGUAUGAAGGUAGGUGUCAAUGUGAUGAAGUUUCUCUUGGUGCUUGUAGUAUGAAGGUAGGUGUCAAUGUGAUGGGAAUUCUCUUGGUGUUUGUAG